rnacentral:lncRNA from 1 species
AUGUUGCCCAGGGGACGCCCGGAUGUUUUGAUGUUUUUACCAUCCUUGUGGGAGGCUUCUCUCAUGUCCCCGCAUGGACGUUGCCCAGGGGACGCCCGGAUGUUUUUGAUGUUUUUACCAUCCUUGUGGGAGGCUUCUCUCAUGUCCCCACAUGGAGCUGGAGCUGAUAGAGGGAGCCACUCUCCCCGGGUGGGAUUCGAACCUGGCAGCUUUCAGGUCAGCAACCCAACCUUCAAGUCACAAGGCUUUUAUCCCCUAGGCCACCGAGGGCUCCUAGAGUUAGCAUAAAAACCGUGUCUAAACUACUGUCCUUAAUGGGGAGUAAAGUGUUUCCAUUUGGGGAAGACUCCUAUAGGUCUAAGCUCAAAGGCAAUGCAGAUCUGUUUUGGCUAGGAUAGAAAGAAUAUUUAUCAUUAUUUAUUCCAAGGACAAAAAACCAUGUUUCCCAAAGUGCAUGAAACCCUGUCAGAAAGAAUAAGAGACUAGUGAGAAUUUGAUGCAAUUUUCUGCUAAUAUUAUAUGUCCUGAAGUAAUGUGUGUGGGCAAGUUAAAGUCACCUUGCUACUUAUGGCAACCCCAUGAGUGUCAUAAAGGUGUUUUUUUUUAAGGCAAGGAAUACUCAGAAGAGGUUUGCCAUUGACUUUCUAUACAGCCCCUGGUAAUAGUACUAGUAAUUGUUGUUGUUGCAGUUGUUUCUUACCUGCCUCUCCCUGUAGUAUUCUUUGGUGGUCCCUCAUCCAAGUACUGACCCUGUUUAGCUUCCAAGCUCAGAUGAGAUCUGGUGCCUUUAAGAUAUUUAGGCCUUUCCUGAAGUGUUGCUUUGGAAUUAUACUAUGGAGAAAAUACAUUGGAU